UGGGUUGUAGCUCAGUGGCAGAGUACUCAUCUCACAUGCGUGAGGCACUGGGUUCAAUCCUCAGCACCACAU
rnacentral:tRNA from 1 species